AUUGAACGCUGGCGGCAGGCCUAACACAUGCAAGUCGAGCGAGCGGCGGACGGGUGCGUAAUGUAUGGGGACUGCCCGAUAGAGGGGGAUAACUACUGGAAACGGUGGCUAAUACCGCAUACUAUCGGAUAACCCAUAUGGGAUUAGCUAGUAGGUGGGGUAAAGGCUCACCUAGGCGACGAUCUCUAGCUGGUCUGAGAGGUUGAGCAGCAAAACGGGGAUGGGGACACGGCCCAGACUCCUACGGAGGCAGAAGUGGGGAAUAUUGCACAAUGGGCGCAAGCCGGACGCAGCAAGGCCGCGUGUAUGAAGAAGGCCUUAGGGUGGGAAAGUACUUUCAGCGGGGAGGCGUUACCCGCAGAAGAAGCACCGGCUAACUCCGUGCCAGCAGCCGCGGUAAUUC
rnacentral:rRNA from 1 species